GAUGAACGCUGGCGGCGUGCCUAAUACAUGCAAGUCGAGCGAACGGACGAGAAGCUUGCUUCUCUGAUGUUAGCGGCGGACGGGUGAGUAACACGUGGAUAACCUACCUAUAAGACUGGGAUAACUUCGGGAAACCGUAGCUAAUACCGGAUAAUAUUUUGAACCGCAUGGUUCAAAAGUGAAAGACGGUCUUGCUGUCACUUAUAGAUGGAUCCGCGCUGCAUUAGCUAGUUGGUAAGGUAACGGCUUACCAAGGCAACGAUGCAUAGCCGACCUGAGAGGGUGAUCGGCCACACUGGAGCGGAGACACGGUCCAGACUCCUACGGGAGGCAGCAGUAGGGAAUCUGCCGCAAUGGGCGAAAGCCUGACGGAGCAACGCCGAGUGAGUGAUGAAGGUCUUCGGAUCGUAAAACUCUGUUAUUAGGGAAGAACAGAUGUGUAAGUAACUGUGCACAUCUUGACGGUACCUAAUCAGAAAGCCACGGCUAACUACGCG
rnacentral:rRNA from 1 species